rnacentral:rRNA from 1 species
CAUGCGGUAAUUACCGAUAUAAAUGACAUGUACAUGAAUGAUCUCUACAAGUGGAUCGUGGUCGGAUGCGUUGCAACGGUGCUUUUCUUCUGGUCAGUGUCCGGAAUGCUCUUCAGAAUCGUGUCGUCUAUGAAGAAUGUGUACUAUAAGGGACUCAAUUCAUUUGUCGUCAGACAGAUGAGCAGCCGUGUCAACACAAAUGUACUUUCAAUAUCAGUCAUCUGUCUGAUGCUUUUUGUGACAAUAUGUGUGCUUUCAUCAGCGCUUGCAGUGAAGAAUUCCUUAAAUGAGGGCAUUGCAAAGUACGCAAGAGCGGAUGUGAGUAUAUCGAAAACCCAGAGCAGUGAUUCAAUCUAUUAUGACGAAGACGAGAUGGGUAAUGACAGCGAGACAAAUGAUCUUUUGAAGAAACUUGAGGUGACUGAUGGAAAGAGCAUAGAAGAUGUAUAUAGUGAAAAUAAUGUGGAUCUUGGAUCCUACUUCUCAGAUUACGUUGACGUACACACAUAUACAUGUCCUGCACUUACAAUCAGAAACUAUCUGGGAGAUGAGGCUCUGAUUGAUUCUCUUGGAAUAGAUGUAAACGCUUUGUCUAGUUAUGAGGGAACGGAGGAGAUCAUAUCACAGUCCGACUAUAACAAGGUUGCAAAGAUUUAUGACAAUGCUGAGCUCCAGCUUGCCGAUGACGAGUAUGCCAUCCUUGCAAAUUAUAGAAUAUUCGUUAAGAUCCGUGAUGAGAGACUUCAGGAGGGAAAAGAGAUAGAGGUAUAUGGCAACAAGCUUAAACCGGUUAUCUCGUAUUGUAUAGAUGGUGAUAUAGAGCUUGCCACUCAGCCCCUCAACACAGGUGUGUUUAUCGUGCCGGAUUCAGCCAUUGAAGGUGCACAGUUCGCGAAAGAGUAUUUCAUCGGAAAGUAUGCCGAUCAGGACAUAGAUGCCAUACAGGAUAGCGAUACGAUUAUAAAUAAGGUAUCGAAUAAGGAUGUGACCUGCGGACUUAUCACAGUAAACACUAAAGAUAGUAUUAAGGCAGCCAGCGUGGGAGUUGGAGCUAUCGCAUCAUUUAUCGGACUCAUAUUCCUCAUAUCCGGUGCAGCCAUCCUCGCACUCAAAGAGCUCUCAGAGAGUACAGACAACAUAGAGAGAUACAAGAUGCUCAGAAAGCUUGGCGUGGAUCAGCACAUGAUCAACAAGGCCCUUUUCUCGCAGAUGGGACUAUUCUUCGUAUUCCCACUUGCUCUCGCCAUAGUCCAUUCGGUAUUUGGAAUGAUGGUCAGCACGAAGAUCCUUGACACUAUGGGAGCGGAUAUAGCAGGUGCUAUCGGAAUCACGGCUGCCAUCGUGGUAAUCAUAUAUGGCGGAUAUUUCCUUAUAACGUAUCUGUGCAGCAGGAAGAUUAUCAGUGAGUGAGGGCAAGGAAAAAUUUUUCAGGAAUAAUUGAUCCAGGGAGGAUAUAUGUCUUUCCUGGAUUUCUUAUGCAUAACUAAAAAUUUUUAUUUAAGGAAGAGUUUUGACAAUUGAAAGAUACAAUAUUGUCACUAAUAGAAUAGAUUUGGAUGAAAAAAAUACAAGCAUCAAAAACUUGAUAUUAUCACAAAUAAUGUAUAAUGAUAUAAUAGGAAUUAGGUUUAUGGAUUGGAGGAAGCAGUAAUGAAUAAACACGUAGAAAAAGCUAUGGAGAUAAGAAACGAGACACCGAUGGUCAAUAACUGUGCUCAGACCAUUCUGCGGUCUUACGCUGACGAGCUCGGAAUAACAGGAGAUAUGGCGGCAAAGCUCAGUGCUAAUUUCGGUGGUGGCAUGAAGUGUGGUUCAACCUGCGGUGCGAUCACAGGAGGGCUUAUGGUACUUGGCGCUCUGGGCGUUGAGAAUCCAUACGUGAUAAAUCAGUUCAGGCGCAGGAUAGCAGAUAACCACAAUGGCAUGACCGAUUGUGCCGAUCUGUUAAAGGCAAAUGCCCAAAAGGGCGGAAUCAAGAAAGUGCACUGCGACGGCAUGAUCAGGGAGGCUAUAGAGCUGAUAGAUGAACUGGUGAAGAGUGAAUAAAUAUAACAAGAACAACGUGUUUACCUAUCCUGGAGGAAAAAGGGAUUCUGGAAUGGAGGAUGCGCAAGUAAAUGAAAAUAGACUACAGAAGACUUACAGAAAAUGAACUUGAUACAUUUAUAAAUAUGAGAAUAAAUCAGCUCAAAGGUUAGCUCAGCACGGACGGAAACCGUGCCUCUGAGUGUAAACGCAAAAGCUAGCCUAACUGCGAGGGUGACGGCCCGAGCAGUAACGAAAGUUGGAGUUAGUGAUCCGGCGGUAUGUGAAUGGAAAUGCCGUCGCUCAACGGAUAAAAGCUACCCUGGGGAUAACAGGCUGAUCUCCCCCAAGAGUCCACAUCGACGGGGAGGUUUGGCACCUCGAUGUCGGCUCAUCACAUCCUGGGGCUGUAUUCGGUCCCAAGGGUUCGGCUGUUCGCCGAUUAAAGUGGUACGCGAGCUGGGUUCAGAACGUCGCGAGACAGUUCGGUCCCUAUCUGUCGUGGGCGCAGGAUAUUUGAGGAGCUCUGUCCUUAGUACGAGAGGACCGGGAUGGACGUACCUCUGGUGCACCAGUUGUCAUGCCAAUGGCACGGCUGGGCAGCUAUGUACGGAACGGAUAAACGCUGAAAGCAUCUAAGCGUGAAGCCGACUCCAAGAUUAGAUAUCCCAUCGUAUAACGAGUAAGACCCCUUGAAGACUACGAGGUUGAUAGGCUGCGUGUGUAAGUGCCGUGAGGCAUUCAGCUUGGCAGUACUAAUAGGUCGAGGGCUUGACCA